GCCCUUAGAGUUUGAUCAUGGCUCAGGAUGAACGCUAGCGGCAGGCCUAAUACAUGCAAGUCGAACGGUAAUCCCGCACAUGCGGGAACGAGUGGCGCACGGGUGCGUAACACGUAUGCAACCUACCCUGUACUGGGGGAUAACCCUGAGAAAUCGGGGCUAAUACCCCAUGGCAUUAUGAAGUGGCAUCACUUUAUGAUUAAAGAUUCAUUGGUACGGGAUGGGCAUGCGCCCCAUUAGUUAGUUGGUGAGGUAACGGCUCACCAAGGCAUUGAUGGGUAGGGGUUCUGAGAGGAUUAUCCCCCACACUGGUACUGAGACACGGACCAGACUCCUACGGGAGGCAGCAGUAAGGAAUAUUGGGCAAUGGAGGCAACUCUGACCCAGCCAUGCCGCGUGCAGGAAGACUGCCCUAUGGGUUGUAAACUGCUUUUGUAUGGGACUAACCGUGGCUACGUGUAGCCGCCUGCAUGUACCAUACGAAUAAGCAUCGGCUAACUCCGUGCCAGCAGCCGCGGUAAUACGGAGGAUGCGAGCGUUAUCCGGAAUUAUUGGGUUUAAAGGGUGCGUAGGCUGACAAGUAAGUCAGUGGUGAAAUACCCCGGCUUAACCGGG
rnacentral:rRNA from 1 species